rnacentral:rRNA from 1 species
GACGGUAGGAUCCGAGCGUUGUCCGGAGUUACUGGGCGUAAAGCGCGCGCAGGCGGACACGCGCAUCGGCGGUGAAAGCCCCCCGCUCAACGGGGGAGGGUCCGUCGAGAUGGCGGUGUCUGGAGGCAGGGAGAGGCCAGUGGAAUUCCGGGUGUAGUGGUGAAAUGACGUAGAGAUCCGGAGGAACGACCAGUGGCGAAGGCGGCUGGCUGGACCUGGACCUGACGCUGAGGCGCGAAGGCGGUGGGGAGCGAACGGGG